rnacentral:rRNA from 1 species
AUCUUUGUCCAUACCACCCUGAAAGAGCCCAAUCUCCUUUAAUCUCAGAAGAUAGACUGGGUUGGGCCUGGUUAAUACUUUGAUGGGAGACCUCCUGGGAAUAUCAGAUGCUGUAGGCU